AGAGUUUGAUCCUGGCUCAGAAUCAACGCUGGCGGCGUGCCUAACACAUGCAAGUCGCACGAGAAAGGGACUUCGGUCCUGAGUACAGUGGCGCACGGGUGAGUAACACGUGACUUAUCUACCUCCGAGUGGGGAAUAACCUAGAGAAAUCUGGGCUAAUACCGCAUAACACUUACGAGUCAAAGCAGCAAUGCGCUUGGAGAGGAGGUCGCGGCAGAUUAGUUAGUUGGCGGGGUAAUGGCCCACCAAGACGAUGAUCUGUAUCCGGCCUGAGAGGGCGCACGGACACACUGGAACUGAAACACGGUCCAGACUCCUACGGGAGGCAGCAGUGGGGAAUUUUGCGCAAUGGGGGAAACCCUGACGCAGCAACGCCGCGUGGAGGAUGAAAUCCCUUGGGAUGUAAACUCCUUUCGAUCGGGAAGAUAAUGACGGUACCGAGAGAAGAAGCCCCGGCUAACUUCGUGCCAGCAGCCGCGGUAAUACGAGGGGGGCAAGCGUUGUUCGGAAUUAUUGGGCGUAAAGGGUGCGUAGGCGGUUUGAUAAGUCACAUGUGAAAUCUUCGGGCUCAACCCGAAGUCUGCAUGCGAAACUGUCGGGCUUGAGUAUGGGAGAGGUGAGUGGAAUUUCCGGUGUAGCGGUGAAAUGCGUAGAUAUCGGAAGGAACACCUGUGGCGAAAGCGGCUCACUGGACCAUAACUGACGCUGAUGCACGAAAGCUAGGGGAGCAAACAGGAUUAGAUACCCUAGUAGUCC
rnacentral:rRNA from 1 species